rnacentral:rRNA from 1 species
AUACGGAGGAUCCGAGCGUUAUCCGGAAUCAUUGGGUUUAAAGGGUCCGUAGGUGGAUAAUUAAGUCAGAGGUGAAAUCCUGCAGCUCAACUGUAGCAUUGCCUUUGAUACUGGUUAUCUUGAGUUAUUAUGAAGUAGUUAGAAUAUGUAGUGUAGCGGUGAAAUGCAUAGAUAUUACAUAGAAUACCGAUUGCGAAGGCAGAUUACUAAUAAUAUACUGACACUGAGGGACGAAAGCGUGGGGAGCGAACAGGAUUAGAAACCCUAGUAGUCC